UACGGGGGGGGCAAGCGUUGUUCGGAAUUACUGGGCGUAAAGGGCUCGUAGGUGGCCAACUAAGUCAGACGUGAAAUCCCUCGGCUUAACCGGGGAACUGCGUCUGAUACUGGAUGGCUUGAGAUUGGGAGAGGGAUGCGGAAUUCCAGGUGUAGCGGUGAAAUGCGCAGAUAUCAGGAGGAGCACCGGUGGCGAAGGCGGCUUGCUGGGCCUUACCUGACGCUGAGGAGCGAAAGCGUGGGGAGCGAACAGG
rnacentral:rRNA from 1 species